ACGAGUCCGCGGCCGCUCUCUGGGCUAAGGCCGUUCUCGCGUUCUCGGCAAGGAUCGGCCCAGGGGAGAUCGAUGUCGCGGCGUCCAGUGGUGGAUGGCCGCUCCGGAGGAGGUACUCAAUGGAAGAGGCGGCGUACGUGAGGGAGGCAAUGGUGGCGCUGAGGCUGGCCAAGGAGGUGGUCGGGAUGCAUCAGGAGUGGAGGCGGUGUGCCAUCUCAACCGCACCGGAGGCUUCUCCAGGCCUCUCGCGAACUCCACCACUGCUUGGCCCUGCCUUCUCCUCGAGAUCCUCUCCGAGGCUGCACAGGUCGACUCCUUCCAGGUCUGCUGCGCUGCCCAAAGAAAUAAGAUGUAAAAAAAUCCCCAAACUUCCGAAUUCAAAACCCUAACCCCUCUGGGUGCAGCCAAAGCUGGUGAUAAACAACAUUGAUGUGCUUCGAAAAGCCACUUCGACAGAAGAUGAUUCAACAGUGUCUGCCGCGAUGUACCACGACAGCUUCAUAUGGAGAUUGAUAGCCCUUGGUGUGAACGAGGGAUGGUUCCCGUCACUCUUGUGACAUCAGAUAGGUUCAGAAAACCGACAUCAAAAUCUGAACUGUACGCCUAUCAUAUUUUGGUUUCACUGCCUCUACUGAAAGGAGCUAUUAUUGCAAAACUUGAAGAAGAGACAGCAGAAAAACAACCAGCAACUGAGACAUCUGAUUGGCAAUUGUUAAGGUUGAUUUUUCCAAUUUUUGUUAGAUGUCAUAUUAACUUUUGUAUUAUAAUUUACAUACCUAGAUUUAUCUA